GGGUUGUGAGGUUAAGCGACUAAGCGUACACGGUGGAUGCCCUGGCAGUCAGAGGCGAUGAAGGGCGUGCUAAUCUGCGAUAAGCGCCGGUAAGGUGAUAUGAACCGUUAUAACCGGCGAUACCCGAAUGGGGAAACCCAGUGUGAUUCGUCACACUAUCAUUAACUGAAUCCAUAGGUUAAUGAGGCGAACCGGGGGAACUGAAACAUCUAAGUACCCCGAGGAAAAGAAAUCAACCGAGAUUCCCCCAGUAGCGGCGAGCGAACGGGGAGGAGCCCAGAGCCUGAAUCAGCAUGUGUGUUAGUGGAAGCGUCUGGAAAGGCGCGCGAUACAGGGUGACAGCCCCGUACACAAAAGCGCAUGUGCUGUGAGCUCGAUGAGUAGGGCGGGACACGUGGUAUCCUGUCUGAAUAUGGGGGGACCAUCCUCCAAGGCUAAAUACUCCUGACUGACCGAUAGUGAACCAGUACCGUGAGGGAAAGGCGAAAAGAACCCCGGCGAGGGGAGUGAAAAAGAACCUGAAACCGUGUACGUACAAGCAGUGGGAGCACAGGUUUACCUGUGUGACUGCGUACCUUUUGUAUAAUGGGUCAGCGACUUAUAUUCUGUAGCAAGGUUAACCGAAUAGGGGAGCCGGAGGGAAACCGAGUCUUAAUUGGGCGUUAAGUUGCAGGGUAUAGACCCGAAACCCGGUGAUCUAGCCAUGGGCAGGUUGAAGGUUGGGUAACACUAACUGGAGGACCGAACCGACUAAUGUUGAAAAAUUAGCGGAUGACCUGUGGCUGGGGGUGAAAGGCCAAUCAAACCGGGAGAUAGCUGGUUCUCCCCGAAAGCUAUUUAGGUAGCGCCUCGUGAAUUCAUCUCCGGGGGUAGAGCACUGUUUCGGCUAGGGGGCCAUCCCGGCUUACCAACCCGAUGCAAACUGCGAAUACCGGAGAAUGUUAUCACGGGAGACACACGGCGGGUGCUAACGUCCGUCGUGAAGAGGGAAACAACCCAGACCGCCAGCUAAGGUCCCAAAGUCAUGGUUAAGUGGGAAACGAUGUGGGAAGGCCCAGACAGCCAGGAUGUUGGCUUAGAAGCAGCCAUCAUUUAAAGAAAGCGUAAUAGCUCACUGGUCGAGUCGGCCUGCGCGGAAGAUGUAACGGGGCUAAACCAUGCACCGAAGCUGCGGCAGCGACGCUUAUGCGUUGUUGGGUAGGGGAGCGUUCUGUAAGCCUGUGAAGGUGGCCUGUGAGGGUUGCUGGAGGUAUCAGAAGUGCGAAUGCUGACAUAAGUAACGAUAAAGCGGGUGAAAAGCCCGCUCGCCGGAAGACCAAGGGUUCCUGUCCAACGUUAAUCGGGGCAGGGUGAGUCGACCCCUAAGGCGAGGCCGAAAGGCGUAGUCGAUGGGAAACGGGUUAAUAUUCCCGUACUUGGUGUUACUGCGAAGGGGGGACGGAGAAGGCUAUGUUGGCCGGGCGACGGUUGUCCCGGUUUAAGCGUGUAGGUGUGUGUUCCAGGUAAAUCCGGUUCACUUUAACACUGAGGCGUGAUGACGAGGCACUACGGUGCUGAAGUAACAAAUGCCCUGCUUCCAGGAAAAGCCUCUAAGCAUCAGGUAACAUCAAAUCGUACCCCAAACCGACACAGGUGGUCAGGUAGAGAAUACCAAGGCGCUUGAGAGAACUCGGGUGAAGGAACUAGGCAAAAUGGUGCCGUAACUUCGGGAGAAGGCACGCUGACACGUAGGUGAAGUGAUUUACUCAUGGAGCUGAAGUCAGUCGAAGAUACCAGCUGGCUGCAACUGUUUAUUAAAAACACAGCACUGUGCAAACACGAAAGUGGACGUAUACGGUGUGACGCCUGCCCGGUGCCGGAAGGUUAAUUGAUGGGGUCAGCGCAAGCGAAGCUCCUGAUCGAAGCCCCGGUAAACGGCGGCCGUAACUAUAACGGUCCUAAGGUAGCGAAAUUCCUUGUCGGGUAAGUUCCGACCUGCACGAAUGGCGUAAUGAUGGCCAGGCUGUCUCCACCCGAGACUCAGUGAAAUUGAACUCGCUGUGAAGAUGCAGUGUACCCGCGGCAAGACGGAAAGACCCCGUGAACCUUUACUAUAGCUUGACACUGAACAUUGAGCCUUGAUGUGUAGGAUAGGUGGGAGGCUUUGAAGUGUGGACGCCAGUCUGCAUGGAGCCGACCUUGAAAUACCACCCUUUAAUGUUUGAUGUUCUAACGUGGACCCGUUACCCGGGUUGCGGACAGUGUCUGGUGGGUAGUUUGACUGGGGCGGUCUCCUCCUAAAGAGUAACGGAGGAGCACGAAGGUUGGCUAAUCCUGGUCGGACAUCAGGAGGUUAGUGCAAUGGCAUAAGCCAGCUUGACUGCGAGCGUGACGGCGCGAGCAGGUGCGAAAGCAGGUCAUAGUGAUCCGGUGGUUCUGAAUGGAAGGGCCAUCGCUCAACGGAUAAAAGGUACUCCGGGGAUAACAGGCUGAUACCGCCCAAGAGUUCAUAUCGACGGCGGUGUUUGGCACCUCGAUGUCGGCUCAUCACAUCCUGGGGCUGAAGUAGGUCCCAAGGGUAUGGCUGUUCGCCAUUUAAAGUGGUACGCGAGCUGGGUUUAGAACGUCGUGAGACAGUUCGGUCCCUAUCUGCCGUGGGCGCUGGAGAACUGAGGGGGGCUGCUCCUAGUACGAGAGGACCGGAGUGGACGCAUCACUGGUGUUCGGGUUGUCAUGCCAAUGGCACUGCCCGGUAGCUAAAUGCGGAAGAGAUAAGUGCUGAAAGCAUCUAAGCACGAAACUUGCCCCGAGAUGAGUUCUCCCUGAGACUUAGAGUCUCCUGAAGGAACGUUGAAGACGACGACGUUGAUAGGCCGGGUGUGUAAGCGCAGCGAUGCGUUGAGCUAACCGGUACUAAUGAACCGUGAGGCUUAACCUUACAACGCCGAAG
rnacentral:rRNA from 1 species